UAAUUUUAAUUCUUUAUGGGGUUACAUUUCUAAUAUCCUCCCUCAAAUUAAAAGCGGUUAGGUUUUUAAUUUGAAAAAGAAUGAGAUGUAGAGUUGCAACCCUUGGGUCGAAUCAGAGGCGGUUCGCCUGGAUUCUUGAGCCUGGGUUGUGUACAUCUAGCAGUUGCAAUUUUUGGAGUAAAUUGCGAAAAGUUGGUCCUCCCAGGGGUUUUGUGAAAAAGUCCCCAACGUUUUGUGCACUGGGAAUGUGCUUCAAUACAACCUCUCCCGCUAAA
rnacentral:lncRNA from 1 species